AUCUAGCUGACGAGUCCCAAAUAGGAUGAAACGCUUGCCUUACUGGAU
rnacentral:hammerhead_ribozyme from 1 species